AUAUACAGCCAUACCACCCUGAUCUUGGAAGCUAUGGAGGGUCUUCUCUGGCCUGUAAUUGGAUGGGAGACUGCCUGGUAAUACCCGGUGCUGUAGGCA
ensembl:rRNA 5S_rRNA 5S ribosomal RNA